rnacentral:rRNA from 1 species
UACGGGGGGAGCAAGCGUUGUUCGGAAUUACUGGGCGUAAAGCGUGCGCAGGCGGCUUGCUAAGACAGGUGUGAAAGCCCCGAGCUUAACUUGGGAAUGGCGCUUGUGACUGGCAGGCUGGAGUGUGGCAGAGGGAGGUGGAAUUCCACGUGUAGCGGUGAAAUGCGUAGAGAUGUGGAGGAACACCGAUGGCGAAGGCAGCCUCCUGGGCCAAUACUGACGCUCAUGCACGAAAGCGUGGGGAGCAAACAGG